rnacentral:rRNA from 1 species
ACCUCGAAUCAGGUGGGACUACCCGCUGAACUU